GACGAACCGUGCGAACGUUGUUCGGAAUCACUGGGCUUAAAGGGCGCGUAGGCGGGUUCCCAAGUCCGGGGUGAAAUCUUUCGGCUUAACCGGAAAAUAGCCUCGGAUACUGGGAGUCUUGAGGGAGGUAGGGGCAGCUGGAACUUCCGGUGGAGCGGUGAAAUGCGUUGAUAUCGGAAGGAACGCCGGUGGCGAAAGCGAGCUGCUGGACCUCUUCUGACGCUGAGGCACGAAAGCCAGGGGAGCAAACGGG
rnacentral:rRNA from 1 species